AUUUAUCAAUGAUUAUGAAUCUACUUGUGUAUGUUACGGCCUCGUACAUACUUGGGCGGCGGCGACGGCAAGCCACGCAUUUUAGACUUGGAUUCCGGAGAGAAAAAGAGAGUGGGAACGGGACAAGGGACCGUUCUCAGGAGCAGGUCACGGGGAGGAAGAAAGAAAGAAAAAGUUGGGGAGGAAAAGCGAAAUCUGCUAAAGGCACGGGAGGGAGGAACGAGUCUAAAAAACGCAGCCAAUCUUUUCUGGGCUAAGGGAACCGGCUCCCGAGGUCAACGGAGCUCUCCAAAAUGAUGAAUGAUUGAGUACCUGCGAUGAUGAUAGUGAUUACCGGAGCAAUUAAACAGUUUGAUUAAAUGAGCCAUCAUAACAAUGAUGUCUGCGGGAUAUCAGCCCUCGCUUAUAAAGAAAGAUAGAGGGGAGAGAGAGAGAGAGGCUUGAGGAACGCCACCGGGUAACGGCUUCGCUUCCCGGGAGCGCUUAGCCUGGCAAGCUUCGCAGCUUGAGCUCAGCCUCCGAAGCGGCAGGCGAAAGAGCUGGGAAAAAGAACUGGUUAGACUUUUUUUAAGCCUGACUUGCGCGCCCGUUUGAAGCGCCGAAGAGCCACCUUUGGGUAGGGACGGGAGAGAAGAGGGGGGUGUCUGCUUUUACUUGUUCUACCCCCUUCUCCCCUCCCCACUUUUCUUUUCUUCUAGAAGACCUCUUCCAAGAUUAAAGCGAUUCUUAGGAGCAGCCGCUACUCUUCUGUGGCUGGUUCGCCCGGCUCUGAGCAUAAAGGGGGAAAUCAAAGUGUAUUUUGAACAACCAGACAUUGCAAAGGAUGAUAACAUCUUGACCAUUUGGAUGCCUUUUUAUUAUUUUUAAAAGAUGCUGUCUUUUGUAAAGGUGACUCUUCCAACAGUAAGCAUUCUGGGCGAUAAUGAAUGGCUCUUGGAAUAAUCGAUGCCCAUUUUAUGAGCCCAUCAAGAGAUGGACACCUUGUUUCAGGAACGUGGCCUCACCUUCACCAAGUGGCUUCCUCAGGCCGGAUAAGAAACCCUUCUCCCAGCCGAGCAGCUCAGCCGGUUCCUAAACUUCCCUCUGCAGGUCUUCAGGUAGGGUUAAAAAAAAAGUCAGGAUGAUGCCCAGGAUGGUGCGAUGUGCACCAAAAUCAAGUGGACUUUUUUGACCCCUCCCUGCAGACAGUCCUGUGGUAGUAAACUUUCCUUGAGUCCAGCCUGACCAACCAGCAGGUGAUUUCAUGUGCUCAUUGUUGGCUUGAUGCAAUCCGAAGUUAGUUUGCCAUUUCCUUCCUUCAGGGGGCUUUUUCCAACUUACCACCCUGGCAUUUCCUCUUGGUCUCCCAUCCAAAUACUAACCAGAUGUAACCAUGCUUAGUGCGGCUAAGCAAUUUUGGGCCCAAAGGACAGGAGAUCAACCAAGUGGCCUAUUUUGUUGGUUCAAAUGAACAAAUGAAUCAAGCUAAAUAAGUCCAGGAUGCGGAAGAAUUUGAAACAAAAGGAUUGGGUGACAGUAUUAAGUAUUGUUAAGUCAUAAAUUAUAUUAAUGAAUAUUAGUGAUUAUGAGUAUUAAUAUCAAUUGAGGCAUUGUCCCCAGACAGAAAUUCCUCAAAAAGGAUUUUACCAAAUUCCUAUUUCUUGCCUGCUUCCUUUUCUUUUUGAAAAAUAUUCCAAGUAAUCCAUUUGAGCCAAAUGUCCCACUCCAUAUUUCCAAACACACUCCAUCCCUUUCCUUACUUACACAGCAAUUAAAAUACAAAUCCCCCCCUCCCCCCCUCCGCCGCCAAUGUCCAUCCUUCCCUGAAAGCAAGGGUGGUAUUAUGCAUCAUCUUUCCAAGGGCUUCUGAUCACAGGAUUGGAUUGUCAAAUAAACAGGAUCUGGGGCAGGAUGAGAUCCUAGGGGUUGUGAUGACACUGGAAAGGGAAACAAUUCUUAGAUAGCCUGUCUCUUUCUUAAAAAUAAAUUAUUCGUUUUGACCAUUUAGCUUUCAUUUGGUCUGUUAACUCACUUCCAGUUUAGGCAGAAUAAAGAAAUUUGAACCUAUAACUAUGGCAAACAGAAAGGGAGGGGAGCCCCCCCUCAACCACAUCUACUCUUGCAAAUAAAACAAGCCAACAGCUCUGGUGAAUGUCUGGAUUCCUUCAGACUUACUGUUAUCUGCUGGUGUUAGAACUGAUAAUAGUUGCAACCCUGUUACCCUAUAGAAUAAUUAAUGCAGGUUCAAACUUUAUUUAUUUUUUAAAAAUACACCUAUAACCAUAUGUUUUAUUUUUUUUCAUAGUUACAUUAAUUGUUGUUUUCUUUUCUUUUUAAGAUGGUUAUGCCCUAAAGUUUCAACCUGAUAUUUUCCUUGGCACUGAUCCUCACAGAAAAGCAGGUGCUGAAGAUGGAGUUGAGAAGAUUACAAGAUCUUGUGAUAGUUUUACAAAAGUAUUCCUAGGAAAGUUUAGACUAAGUUUACAUUAAGUUUAAAUCAAAGGUCGGGAACUGCUAAAGGCAGGAAUGAUAUACAUCCUCAAGUCAAUUCACAGGCUAACCUCUCUCUUUCCACUCUCCUUCUACUCUCUCCCCUCUCCCUUCUCCCUCCCCCCUCUC